CCUACGGGGGGCAGCAGUAGGGAAUUUUCCACAAUGGGCGAAAGCCUGAUGGAGCAACGCCGCGGGGGUGAAGAAGGUCUUCGGAUCGUAAAACCCUGUUGUUAGAGAAGAAAGUGCGUGAGAGUAACUGUUCACGUUUCGACGGUAUCUAACCAGAAAGCAACGGCUAACUACGUGCCAGCAGCCGCGGUAAUACGUAGGUGGCAAGCGUUAUCCGGAUUUAUUGGGCGUAAAGGGAACGCAGGCGGUCUUUUAAGUCUGAUUUGAAAGUCUUCGGCUUAACCGGAGUAGUGCAUUGGAUACUGGGAGACUUGAGUGCAGAAGAGGAGAGUGGAACUCCAUGUGUAGCGGUGAAAUGCGUAGUUAUAUGGAAGAACACCAGUGGCGAAAGCGGCUCUCUGGUCUGUAACUGACGCUGAGGUUCGAAAGCGUGGGUAGCAAACAGGAUUAGAUACCCGGGUAGUC
rnacentral:rRNA from 1 species